rnacentral:rRNA from 1 species
UACAGUCAGCGGCCAAGGGAAACCGUUAAGCAUCCCACCUGGGGAGUACGCCGGCAACGGUGAAACUCAAAGGAAUUGACGGGGGCCCGCACAAGCGGAGGAACAUGUGGUUUAAUUCGAUGAUACGCGAGGAACCUUACCCGGGCUUGAACUGCAGCAGAACGAUAGAGAGAUCUUGAGGCCCUUCGGGGCUGCUGUGGAGGUGCUGCAUGGUUGUCGUCAGCUCGUGCCGUGAGGUGUCGGCUUAAGUGCCAUAACGAGCGCAACCCCUUUCGUCAGUUGCCAUCAGGUGAUGCUGGGCACUCUGGCGACACUGCCACCGUAAGGUGCGAGGAAGGUGGGGAUGACGUCAAAUCAGCACGGCCCUUACGUCCGGGGCUACACACGUGUUACAAUGGGGGGUACAGAGAGUCAGGUGCCGGCAACGUCGCCUUAAUCAUGAAAGCCCUCCUCAGUUCGGAUUGGGGUCUGCAACCCGACCCCAUGAAGCUGGAUUCGCUAGUAAUCGCGCAUCAGCCAUGGCGCGGUGAAUACGUUCCCGGGCCUUGUACACACCGCCCGUCAAGCCAUGAAAGCCGGGGGCGCUUGAAGUCCGUGACCGCGAGGAUCGGCCUAGAGCGAAACUGGUAAUUGGGGCUAAGUCGUAACAAGGUAGCCGUA